rnacentral:lncRNA from 1 species
GAGGCUGGUUUUUAAUCAGAAAUUCACCCUUUGGUGUUUUUCUCACCUUGGCACGCUGGGGGAUUGGGAAGGACAAUGAGGAGGGAGGAGGGAGGCUGGGGAGGGAGCCGGUGGGAGGAGUUAGGCCUGGGGCUAGAUUCCUCUAGCUGGCACCCGGCUGGGGAGACAUGUGGCUGCUGCAGGCUCUCUCCUCCGGUCUCCGUCUUUCUCUCCCACUGCUCCAGCCUCCUGGGAACCCUGCCUAGAGUCCACACUUGGAAGAAAAUAUCUGCAGCAGCAACUCCCAUUGUACAUUAUGAGUAUUCGCACCCCUAGGGAAGACAAGAGUGUUUUUAACCCACAUGUAAUAGUAAAGAUUUUCUCGAGUUCCCAUUUCCGGAGAUACAUUUUUUUACCUGGGACUGGAGUUGGGAGAGGCUGCUACUCUUCGGACCUGCGGCUUCUUCUGCUUCCUGAUUCGAGUCCCUGUGAUAAAAGGCCCCAACCCAUGAGGGGCGGGAGGAGUUGAGCGCAGCGAUGCCUGUGGCCAGUUGGGGGCAGCAGAGGGCAGCAGAGCAGGAAUCACGAGGUGCUGGCAAAGAGGGCGGGUGGUGCUGCAGCUGCAGUGAGAGGCCCUGGGUGGAACGCGUGGCCACUGGGUCUGCUCUGCCCCAGAUCUCCAGGCCACACUUUCUGGACUGGCCUGGAUUAGACAGCAAAGACGUGGGAACUGCUUCCAGAAGGCCAGUGGAGAGAACAUGUCGGUAACAGUGUGACAACAUGGUGGUUCCAAGUGACAGACUCAAUUUGAACCAGACAAGGCAAAAAGAAGACUAUGGCUCACGGAGCCCGGGUUUCAGGGACAGUUGCAACCAGGAACUCCAAUGCUAUCAGGACCAUCUCCCUCCUCUCUCCGUGUUGGAUUUAUCCUUUCCGCCUGCAGAUUUGUUCCUUCCAGGGACCGGAACCACUGCCACCAGCAACUUUUGGCUCAGAUGUUCUGUGAUCUGUUGUUUUCCCUCAGUUCUGAUGGGACAAACCUCAGGGGAGGACCUUCCAUAGUCUCAGCGUAGUGCAGUCAUGCUCUCCCCUGUGGCUGGGGGUGGCGUCCUCUGACUGGCAGCCAGGGCUGCAUCCGGAGCACUCUCCAGGUGAAGGGCUCUCUCUGUGGAGGAAUAGAUGGGCGCCAUUCACAUCAACACAGCCUGCGGCGGUGUCCAACACCUUCCCUUCGGCACAACGGCACCAGCCUAUGUCUCUGAUUUGUGAACUGACUUUCAGAAAUCAGGGUGGCAACUUCACCCACCCCUACUCUUCCUGAAAUGAAGGGACAGUGUCCUAGGAGGACCGCAGCGUGUCUCUCCAUCUUUUUUUGUUUGUUUGUUUUUUGAGACGGAGUCUCUCUCUGUCACCCAGGCUGGAGUGCAGUGGUGCCAUCUCGGCUCACUGCAACUUCUGCCUCCCGGGUUCAAGCGAUUCUCCUGCCUCAGCCUCCUGAGUAGCUGGGAUGACAGGCGCGCGCCUCCACGCCCGGCUAAUUUUUGGAUUUUUAGUGGAGACAGGAUUUCACCAUGUUGGCCAGGCGUUUCUCCUGACCUCAGGUGAUCUGCCCGUCUCGGCCUCCCAAAAUGCUGGGAUUACAGGCAUGAGCCACCGCGUCUGGCUGUGCCUCUCCAUCUUAAAUUCACCUCUCUGCCGGUUGCCUUGGUGAAAGUGGAUUCAAGGAAGGGGUCAUCAUGAGAGAGUGCCUGAGCUGAAGGGCAGGAGAGGAGAGGAGGGGUCUGAGCACCUCAGCGAGGCCUCAAUUAGGAUCAGCAAAUAAGAGAUUGUUGCAAAUGUUCUGCAAGAUGCAUUGUAUAGAGCGAUUCACUGUGUGCCUGACAUUUCCUGAUAGCCCUGAAAGCUAAGCAGGGGCUGCUUAGCAUUGCAAUAAAUGUCACCACCUGAACAUUAUUAGUGGUGUCUUCUGACCUGCCGGGUUAUCUGAUGAACAAACCAAGACUCAGAGAGGGGCAGGGGCAUUAGUGCUCCACAGCGAAUUGGACAGCUCAGAACUGGGAUCCAUGGCUCCCGAUUCCUCCAAUUCCAGAGGCCUCGAAUGCCCA